rnacentral:lncRNA from 1 species
AUUCUGGAGGAGCAUCAGGCCAAGUGCUGCCCUGCCCUGACCCUGACUGGCUCUUCAGAGCCAAGGCAUUCACAGCUUGAGGUGGUUUGGCCUCAGACUCUUGAGAACAUUGCAUAUUAAAUUACAAGUGUUUCGUUUCCUAGCAAGGAGUCUUUAGCAACAUGAAAACGAACGUGUGUUAUUUGCAAACCAAGUAUAUCAUUACUGAACCUGAAUAUCCUUACUUUUUCAUAAGAUGGAUAAACAGAGGCAACCCGAGGAUAAAGGCCUUGCUCAGUGUCACACAUUUCAGUCACUAAAUAAGACACAAUGGAUGCCAGUAUUCUCAUCCCCUCACAAAUAAAGAGCCUUCAAGCUCUUGCAGUCAACAAGAACUUUUGGAAUGAUUUCACUGCCUGAAAAGGCAGAUACAUAGGUGACACCCACAAAUAGGAAGAAAAUCAACCUGAACCUGAGUGUGUGGGCUCACUGACUCUAAGCAGUAGAGACAGAAGAAAAAGUUUUAGCAAAGAAGGGUUCUGAAAGAAAAUAAAUAUAGCUCGUUAUCAAGUGCUGUUUUUACACAGUAAAACAUGGGCAAAAUUACUCUUCUUUAAGUAGU